GAUGAACGCUGGCGGCGUGCCUAAUACAUGCAAGUCGAGCGGACAGACGAGGAGCUUGCGCCUCUGACGUUAGCGGCGGACGGGUGAGUAACACGUGUAUCACCUCCCUAUCAGAGUGGGAACACUUCGGGAAACCGGCGCUUAUCGCGGAGAAGAUCUUGAACCGCGUUGUUCGAUAGUGAGAGACGGCGUUGGUGGCACUACUAGAUGGAUCUGCGCCGGAUGAGCUAGUUGGUAAGGUAACGGCUUACCACGGCAAGGAUGCGUAGGCGAACGGAGAGACGGAUCGGCCACACGGGAACUGAGACACGGUCCAGACUCCUACGGUAGGCAGCAGUCGGGUAUCUGCGGCAAUGGGCGAAAGCCUGACGGAGCAGCGCCACGUGAGUGAUGAAGGCCUUCGGAUCGUAAAGCUCGGUUAUUGGGGAAGAACAAAUUUGUCAGGAACUAUGGCCGUCGUGACGGUACCUAAUAAGAAAGCAACGGCUAACUACGUG
rnacentral:rRNA from 1 species